rnacentral:rRNA from 1 species
UACGUAGGGGGCAAGCGUUGUCCGGAUUUAUUGGGCGUAAAGAGCGUGUAGGCGGCCAUACAGGUCAGCUGUGAAAACUCGAGGCUCAACCUCGAGAUGUCGGUUGAAACCGUAUGGCUAGAGUCCGGAAGAGGAGAGUGGAAUUCCCGGUGUAGCGGUGAAAUGCGCAGAUAUCGGGAAGAACACCAGUGGCGAAGGCGAACACUCUGGAGAGCAACUGACGCUGAGGCACGAAGGCCAGGGGAGGCGAACGGG